ensembl:lncRNA
UUAGUUUCCACUGUAUUGCUGAUGAUACUCAACUAUAUAUCUCAACAAGACUAGAUUAUCUAAGCUAACAGAAUGUGUUAAAAACGUAAAAGAUUGGAUGACCAGAAUAUUAAAAAAAAAAGUUAAAAUGUUAUAUUUUGGGUGGAAAAAAAAAUUAGUAGAACAUUGUAAGAAAUGCUUUUGUAACAUUUAGAUAACAUUCUAAUCACAUUUCAAUGUUUUAUAAACAUUUCAAAACAAUGUUCUUAUAACCUAAAUUUGUCACUUAGGAAGAUAUGUCUUGCUUUCUGAAAAAAAAUACCAAAAUAAAGUGUUUUGCCUAAAACUGUGGGCUCAGAAACAAACUUAAUUCAAGGCAAAACGAUUAUUAUUCUGAGCACAUUAGUAGAUAUUUUUCUUGUUUUAAGCAAAAACUCUUUAGAUGUUUGCAUAUGGAAAUACUGAGGAAGAACACAUUGUUAUAAUUGCAGAAGCUUCCAGUAGCUGUGUGUGUGUGUGUGUGUGUGAGAGAGAGAGAGAGAGAGAGAGACCCAUCCCAACGAGAAGAGUCACUUCUGAAAUAAACCCGAGGAGGAGCUCAGGAACAUCAUUAGAGGUGAUCACACUGGAAGAAAGACAGUCAGACACAGCACUCGCCGUCUGGACGAUGAAGACUCUUCCUCUGUGCUGAUCUUUACACUUUAUCAGGUAAAUGAAUAGAGAACAUAUGCGUUCAGAUCAGUGAUGAUCUGGUGUUUGAUUCAUUUGUGCUCUUCACAGGAGAUGAGUUCUGCUCUCAUUCAUGACAAACUCUUCAUCAAGUCCUUCUGGGAGCAAAAGAUCAACAGUCACAAUCACAUGACCGAAACUGAAGAAGAGAGGAUGAAGAGGAGCGCUCUCACCAAGCUGCGUGACGAGUGGCUCAGCAGACUGGAGCUCCGGACCAAACAUCUGAAGAAUUUUGGCGACAAUCGCGGGGGAAAUCCAGCCCUGAACUAACAAACCCAUCUAACUGUGACACACAGAUGAGUGCAGCUCAAUAAACACACAGUCACUGACUGCUCCUCUCUUUAU